GAUGAAGAACGCAGCGAAAUGCGAUAAGUAAUGUGAAUUGCAGAAUUCCGUGAAUCAUCGAAUCUUUGAACGCACAUUGCGCCCUCUGGUAUUCCGGGGGGCAUGCCUGUCCGAGCGUCAUUGCAAACCCUCAAGCCCGGCUUGUGUGAUGGGUCCCGCGUCCGCCUUCCGGGGCGGACGGGCCCGAAACGCAGUGGCGGCGUCGCGGUAAUCCGAUCAGCCAGAGCGUAUGGGGCUUUGUCACCCGCUCCCGUAGGUCCAGCUGGCAGCUAGCCUCGCAACCAAUCUUUUUAACCAGGUUGACCUCGGAUCAGGUAGGGAUACCCGCUGAACUUAAGCAUAUCAAUAAGCGGAGGA
rnacentral:misc_RNA from 1 species